GUUUUGUUCACAUUCUUUGGAAUCAGAAGUGGAAUUCAAGCAACACUGAUUCUUCUCCUGAUGCUGUCCUGAACCAACACAUUGGGAUCUUCAAGGGUCCUUUGAGUUCAGUUGUCUUCUCAGAGAUGCCAGGAAGCCUCAGGUGUAUGCAUGUCUGUUCGUAUGUUGUCUACAUAAUACCAAGUUGACUUCGUUUGUUCGUUCGUGUGUUUUUGUUGAGCUACCGGGCCUGGCCCCACAUUGACUUUUAAAUAAAUACAAGAAACAGGUUCAGGGAGCAAAAGGUUUCCAGCAGCAAGAGGUUGCCAAGAAGAUAAACACCAACCCACUUACUCACCAUCCAAUAUCACCAGCCACCAUUGACAUAACAAGGAAAGGAAAGCUGUCUCAGCAGGGUUCAUGUGGUGGUCAGAUAAGAAAAUGUGUUUGAACUGUCUAGAUGAUAUUAAUUGGAUCCCUGCUUAUUUCUUUAAAUAAAUGUUUG
rnacentral:lncRNA from 1 species